GGUGGCUCAGUGGUAGAGUGCUUGCCCUGCAUGCAUGAGGCCCUGGGUUUGAUUCCCCGGCACCA
rfam:Dipodomys ordii contig_61687, whole genome shotgun sequence.